GAUGAACGCUGGCGGCGUGCCUAAUACAUGCAAGUCGAGCGAACAGAUGAGGAGCUUGCUCCUCUGACGUUAGCGGCGGACGGGUGAGUAACACGUGGAUAACCUACCUAUAAGACUGGGAUAACUUCGGGAAACCGGAGCUAAUACCGGAUAAUAUAUUGAACCGCAUGGUUCAAUAGUGAAAGACGGUUUUGCUGUCACUUAUAGAUGGAUCCGCGCCGCAUUAGCUAGUUGGUAAGGUAACGGCUUACCAAGGCAACGAUGCGUGGCCGACCUGAGAGGGUGAUCGGCCACACUGGAACGAGGACACGGUCCAGACUCCUACGGGAGGCAGCAGUAGGGAAUCUUCCGCAAUGGGCGAAAGCCUGACGGAGCAACGCCGCGUGAGUGAUGAAGGUCUUCGGAUCGUAAAACUCUGUUAUUAGGGAAGAACAAAUGUGUAAGUAACUAUGCACGUCUUGACGGUACCUAAUCAGAAAGCCACGGCUAACUACGUG
rnacentral:rRNA from 1 species